rnacentral:rRNA from 1 species
GAUGAACGCUGGCGGCGUGCCUAAUACAUGCAAGUCGAGCGAAUGGAUUGAGAGCUUGCUCUCAUGAAGUUAGCGGUGGACGGGUGAGUAACACGUGGGUAACCUGCCCAUAAGACUGGGAUAACUCCGGGAAACCGGGGCUAAUACCGGAUAACAUUUUGAACCGCAUGGUUCGAAAUUGAAAGGCGGCUUCGGCUGUCACUUAUGGAUGGACCCGCGUCGCAUUAGCUAGUUGGUGAGGUAACGGCUCACCAAGGCAACGAUGCGUAGCCGACCUGAGAGGGUGAUCGGCCACACUGGGACUGAGACACGGCCCAGACUCCUACGGGAGGCAGCAGUAGGGAAUCUUCCGCAAUGGACGAAAGUCUGACGGAGCAACGCCGCGUGAGUGAUGAAGGCUUUCGGGUCGUAAAACUCUGUUGUUAGGGAAGAACAAGUGCUAGUUGAAUAAGCUGGCACCUUGACGGUACCUAACCAGAAAGCCACGGCUAACUACGUGCCAGCCGCCGCAGUAA